rnacentral:rRNA from 1 species
CGACCUCGGAUUAGACGUGAUACCCGCUGAACUUAAGCAUAUCACUAA